rnacentral:rRNA from 1 species
GACGAACGCUGGCGGCGUGCCUAAUGCAUGCAAGUAGAACGCUGAAGGAGGAGCUUGCUCUUCUGGAUGAGUUGCGAACGGGUGAGUAACGCGUAGGUAACCUGCCUGGUAGCGGGGGAUAACUAUUGGAAACGAUAGCUAAUACCGCAUAAGAGUAGAUGUUGCAUGACAUUUACUUAAAAGGUGCAAUUGCAUCACUACCAGAUGGACCUGCGUUGUAUUAGCUAGUUGGUGGGGUAACGGCUUACCAAGGCGACGAUACAUAGCCGACCUGAGAGGGGGAUCGGCCACACUGGGAGUGAGACACGGCACAGACUCAUACAGGAGGCAGCAGUAGGGAAUCUUCGGCAAUGGGCGGAAGUCUGACCGAGCAACGCCGAGUGAGUGAAGAAGGUCUUCGGAUCGUAAAGCUCUGUUGUAAGAGAAGAACGAGUGUGAGAGUGGAAAGUUCACACUGUGACGGUAUCUUACCAGAAAGGGACGGCUAACUACGUG